GACGAACGCUGGCGGCGUGCUUAACACAUGCAAGUCGAACGGAAAGGCCCUGCUUUGGGGGGGUGCGCGAGGGGCGAACGGGUGAGUAACACGUGAGUAACCUGCCCUUGACGGUGGGAUAACUGCAGGAAACUGGGGCUAAUACCGGAUAGGAGCGCCGGCUGCAGGGGGGGGGUUGGAAAGGUUGGGCGGUUGGGGAUGGACGCGCGGCUUAUCAGCUGGUGGGUGGGGUAGUGGCUUACCAAGGCUUGGACGGGUAGCCGGCCUGGGAGGGUGACCGGCCACAUUGGGACUGAGAUCCGGCCCAGCCUCCUCCGGGAGGCAGCGGUGGGGAUUAUUGCACAAUGGGCGGAAGCCUGAUGCAGCACCGCCGCGUGCGGGAUGCCGGCCUUCGGGUUGUAACCCGCUUUCGCAUGUGCCGAAGCGUGAGUGACGGUACUGGGUGAAGAAGCACCGGCUAACUACGUG
rnacentral:rRNA from 1 species